GGUUAAGCGACUAAGCGUACACGGUGGAUGCCCUGGCAGUCAGAGGCGAUGAAGGACGUGCUAAUCUGCGAUAAGCGUCGGUAAGGUGAUAUGAACCGUUAUAACCGGCGAUUUCCGAAUGGGGAAACCCAGUGUGUUUCGACACACUAUCAUUAACUGAAUCCAUAGGUUAAUGAGGCGAACCGGGGGAACUGAAACAUCUAAGUACCCCGAGGAAAAGAAAUCAACCGAGAUUCCCCCAGUAGCGGCGAGCGAACGGGGAGCAGCCCAGAGCCUGAAUCAGUGUGUGUGUUAGUGGAAGCGUCUGGAAAGGCGCGCGAUACAGGGUGACAGCCCCGUACACAAAAAUGCACAUGCUGUGAGCUCGAUGAGUAGGGCGGGACACGUGGUAUCCUGUCUGAAUAUGGGGGGACCAUCCUCCAAGGCUAAAUACUCCUGACUGACCGAUAGUGAACCAGUACCGUGAGGGAAAGGCGAAAAGAACCCCGGCGAGGGGAGUGAAAAAGAACCUGAAACCGUGUACGUACAAGCAGUGGGAGCACGCUUAGGCGUGUGACUGCGUACCUUUUGUAUAAUGGGUCAGCGACUUAUAUUCUGUAGCAAGGUUAACCGAAUAGGGGAGCCGAAGGGAAACCGAGUCUUAACUGGGCGUUAAGUUGCAGGGUAUAGACCCGAAACCCGGUGAUCUAGCCAUGGGCAGGUUGAAGGUUGGGUAACACUAACUGGAGGACCGAACCGACUAAUGUUGAAAAAUUAGCGGAUGACUUGUGGCUGGGGGUGAAAGGCCAAUCAAACCGGGAGAUAGCUGGUUCUCCCCGAAAGCUAUUUAGGUAGCGCCUCGUGAAUUCAUCUCCGGGGGUAGAGCACUGUUUCGGCAAGGGGGUCAUCCCGACUUACCAACCCGAUGCAAACUGCGAAUACCGGAGAAUGUUAUCACGGGAGACACACGGCGGGUGCUAACGUCCGUCGUGAAGAGGGAAACAACCCAGACCGCCAGCUAAGGUCCCAAAGUCAUGGUUAAGUGGGAAACGAUGUGGGAAGGCCCAGACAGCCAGGAUGUUGGCUUAGAAGCAGCCAUCAUUUAAAGAAAGCGUAAUAGCUCACUGGUCGAGUCGGCCUGCGCGGAAGAUGUAACGGGGCUAAACCAUGCACCGAAGCUGCGGCAGCGACGNNNNNGCGUUGUUGGGUAGGGGAGCGUUCUGUAAGCCUGUGAAGGUGUGCUGUGAGGCAUGCUGGAGGUAUCAGAAGUGCGAAUGCUGACAUAAGUAACGAUAAAGCGGGUGAAAAGCCCGCUCGCCGGAAGACCAAGGGUUCCUGUCCAACGUUAAUCGGGGCAGGGUGAGUCGACCCCUAAGGCGAGGCCGAAAGGCGUAGUCGAUGGGAAACAGGUUAAUAUUCCUGUACUUGGUGUUACUGCGAAGGGGGGACGGAGAAGGCUAUGUUGGCCGGGCGACGGUUGUCCCGGUUUAAGCGUGUAGGCUGGUUUUCCAGGCAAAUCCGGAAAAUCAAGGCUGAGGCGUGAUGACGAGGCACUACGGUGCUGAAGCAACAAAUGCCCUGCUUCCAGGAAAAGCCUCUAAGCAUCAGGUAACAUCAAAUCGUACCCCAAACCGACACAGGUGGUCAGGUAGAGAAUACCAAGGCGCUUGAGAGAACUCGGGUGAAGGAACUAGGCAAAAUGGUGCCGUAACUUCGGGAGAAGGCACGCUGAUAUGUAGGUGAGGUCCCUCGCGGAUGGAGCUGAAAUCAGUCGAAGAUACCAGCUGGCUGCAACUGUUUAUUAAAAACACAGCACUGUGCAAACACGAAAGUGGACGUAUACGGUGUGACGCCUGCCCGGUGCCGGAAGGUUAAUUGAUGGGGUUAGCGNNAGCGAAGCUCUUGAUCGAAGCCCCGGUAAACGGCGGCCGUAACUAUAACGGUCCUAAGGUAGCGAAAUUCCUUGUCGGGUAAGUUCCGACCUGCACGAAUGGCGUAAUGAUGGCCAGGCUGUCUCCACCCGAGACUCAGUGAAAUUGAACUCGCUGUGAAGAUGCAGUGUACCCGCGGCAAGACGGAAAGACCCCGUGAACCUUUACUAUAGCUUGACACUGAACAUUGAGCCUUGAUGUGUAGGAUAGGUGGGAGGCUUAGAAGUGUGGACGCCAGUCUGCAUGGAGCCGACCUUGAAAUACCACCCUUUAAUGUUUGAUGUUCUAACGUUGACCCGUAAUCCGGGUUGCGGACAGUGUCUGGUGGGUAGUUUGACUGGGGCGGUCUCCUCCUAAAGAGUAACGGAGGAGCACGAAGGUUGGCUAAUCCUGGUCGGACAUCAGGAGGUUAGUGCAAUGGCAUAAGCCAGCUUGACUGCGAGCGUGACGGCGCGAGCAGGUGCGAAAGCAGGUCAUAGUGAUCCGGUGGUUCUGAAUGGAAGGGCCAUCGCUCAACGGAUAAAAGGUACUCCGGGGAUAACAGGCUGAUACCGCCCAAGAGUUCAUAUCGACGGCGGUGUUUGGCACCUCGAUGUCGGCUCAUCACAUCCUGGGGCUGAAGUAGGUCCCAAGGGUAUGGCUGUUCGCCAUUUAAAGUGGUACGCGAGCUGGGUUUAGAACGUCGUGAGACAGUUCGGUCCCUAUCUGCCGUGGGCGCUGGAGAACUGAGGGGGGCUGCUCCUAGUACGAGAGGACCGGAGUGGACGCAUCACUGGUGUUCGGGUUGUCAUGCCAAUGGCACUGCCCGGUAGCUAAAUGCGGAAGAGAUAAGUGCUGAAAGCAUCUAAGCACGAAACUUGCCCCGAGAUGAGUUCUCCCUGACCCUUUAAGGGUCCUGAAGGAACGUUGAAGACGACGACGUUGAUAGGCCGGGUGUGUAAGCGCAGCGAUGCGUUGAGCUAACCGGUACUAAUGAACCGUGAGGCUUAACCUU
rnacentral:rRNA from 1 species